GUGCUGGGAACUGACCUCAGUGUGUUGCUCCUCCAGACUUGGGCUACGUUUGCUGUGCAGCUGCGGCUAACCGAGGUGAGCCUGCUGGAGAGGUGAUGGGAACAGCCAGCACAAGGAUGAAGGGAGCCGCUGCCCGUCCCCUGCGAAGGAGAUGGAGGGACCUGCACAUGCGACUGUGCGGUCGGAAACGGCAGCGACCAGUCAGGCAGGUGAGAGCCCAGCGGCACCAGCGCACGGGGCUCCGGGAGCAGCUCCCUCCCGGGCACGCGGUGCGGUGGCCCGGGAACUGGGCGCACGCUCCCCACUCUCCCCUCCUCGCUCUGCGCAGCACAAUCCCUCGGCUUUGCCCCCGUGGGGCGGACGCUGCGUGCAAGGGGGUGUUGAGGCGAGUUUGUCCGAGCUGCGGUGGUGGCUGCACGUGGCCGGUGCAUGCACGCACGCUCCCCAGCCAGGCUGCCUCCCUGCCCGGGCACCGCUCUCCCCUCCAUCAGCAGCAAUCAAUGCUUUCAUUACCCCGACAGCCCAGUCCAAGUGCUAGCAGGUGCAGCUAUCGUCAUUAUAAGCUGCCAUUUACGUAUGUUUUUAUUUCUACAGCUUCUUGCUAUUAA
rnacentral:lncRNA from 1 species